GUCCAUGACCAUACCACCCUGCACUCACUCUAUCUCAUCUGGUCUCAGAAGCUAAGCAGGGUUGGGCCUGGUCAAUAUUUGGAUGGGAGAAACUACCGGUGCUCAGAUACCAGUAAACAGGCAGUGGCGGGAC
ensembl:rRNA 5S_rRNA 5S ribosomal RNA